rnacentral:rRNA from 1 species
AACGAACGCUGGCGGCAGGCUUAACACAUGCAAGUCGAACGCCCCGCAAGGGGAGUGGCAGACGGGUGAGUAACGCGUGGGAAUCUACCCAUCCCUACGGAACAACUCCGGGAAACUGGAGCUAAUACCGUAUACGCCCUUAGGGGGAAAGAUUUAUCGGGGAUGGAUGAGCCCCCGUUGGAUUAGCUAGUUGGUGGGGUAAAGGCCUACCAAGGCGACGAUCCAUAGCUGGUCUGAGAGGAUGAUCAGCCACAUUGGGACUGAGACACGGCCCAAACUCCUACGGGAGGCAGCAGUGGGGAAUAUUGGACAAUGGGCGCAAGCCUGAUCCAGCCAUGCCGCGUGAGUGAUGAAGGCCUUAGGGUUGUAAAGCUCUUUCACCGAUGAAGAUAAUGACGGUAUCCGGAGAAGAAGCCCCGGCUAACUUCGUGCCAGCAGCCGCCGUAACAC